UACAGAGGGGGCUAGCGUUGUUCGGAAUUACUGGGCGUAAAGGGCGCGUAGGUGGCCUGUUAAGUCGAACGUGAAAUCCCUGGGCUCAACCCAGGAACUGCGUCCGAUACUGGUUGGCUUGAAUCCGGGAGAGGGAUGUGGAAUUCCAGGUGUAGCGGUGAAAUGCGUAGAUAUCUGGAGGAACACCGGUGGCGAAGGCGACAUCCUGGACCGGUAUUGACGCUGAGGCGCGAAAGCCAGGGGAGCAAACGGG
rnacentral:rRNA from 1 species